GGCGCGUCGACGUCGGUUCGUUCACGUUGACCGACAGAAUCAGGCAGCGGUUGCUCUCAAAGAAACCGGAGAGCAUCGAGUGUGUGUGUGUGUGUGUGUGUGUGUGUGUGUGUGUGUGUGAACUAUUUUCUGUAUCCACAGUGUCGGUGUCAUGACAAACCAAA